rnacentral:rRNA from 1 species
UGAGGAAUAUUGGUCAAUGGGCGAGAGCCUGAACCAGCCAAGUAGCGUGCAGGAUGACGGCCCUAUGGGUUGUAAACUGCUUUUAUGUGGGGAUAAAGUGCGUGACGUGUCAUGCAUUGCAGGUACCACAUGAAUAAGGACCGGCUAAUUCCGUGCCAGCAGCCGCGGUAAUACGGAAGGUCCGGGCGUUAUCCGGAUUUAUUGGGUUUAAAGGGAGCGUAGGCUGUCUAUUAAGCGUGUUGUGAAAUUUACCGGCUCAACCGGUGGCUUGCAGCGCGAACUGGUCGACUUGAGUAUGCAGGAAGUAGGCGGAAUUCAUGGUGUAGCGGUGAAAUGCUUAGAUAUCAUGAAGAACUCCGAUUGCGAAGGCAGCUUACGGGAGUGUUACUGACGCUUAAGCUCGAAGGUGCGGGUAUCGAACAGG